UACGUAGGGGGCAAGCGUUGUCCGGAAUCAUUGGGCGUAAAGAGCGUGUAGGCGGCUCGGUAAGUCCGCUCUGAAAGCCCGGGGCUCAACCCCGGGAGGCGGGCGGAUACUGUCGGGCUAGAGUCCGGAAGAGGCGAGUGGAAUUCCUGGUGUAGCGGUGAAAUGCGCAGAUAUCAGGAGGAACACCAAUGGCGAAGGCGGUGCUCUGGGCCGGAACUGACGCUGAGGAGCGAAAGCGUGGGGAGCAAACAGG
rnacentral:rRNA from 1 species